ACUCUCUGCCUCUUUCUCCCAUUGGACGGUGACCCUGACUCUGGUUUUGGUGGUUGUAAAAGAGGAAGAAUAUACUAAGUUUCACAGCACUGCAGUCUGGUGCAGAGCACAGAGCCAGAUUCACACCAGG
rnacentral:snoRNA from 14 species